UCGAAUGUAGCAAUACAUGGCGUACUGCUCAGUAACACGUGGACAACCUACCCUCCGGACGGGUAUAAACCCGGGAAACUGGGUAUAAUCCCCGAUAGAUCUCGGUCGCUGGAAUGCCCCGAGAUCGAAAGCUCCGGCGCCAGAGGAUGGGUCUGCGGCCUAUCAGGUAGUAGUGGGUGUAGCGUACCUACUAGCCUACGACGGGUACGGGUUGUGAGAGCAAGAGCCCGGAGAUGGAUUCUGAGACACGAAUCCAGGCCCUACGGGGUGCAGCAGGCGCGAAAACUUUACAAUGCCGGCAACGGCGAUAAGGGGACCUCGAGUGCCAGGUUACAAAUCUGGCUGUCGUGAUGCCUAAAAAGCAUUGCAUAGCAAGGGCCGGGCAAGACCGGUGCCAGCCGCCGCGGUAACACCGGCGGCUCGAGUGGUAACCGUUAUUAUUGGGUCUAAAGGGUCUGUAGCCGGCCGGAUAAGUCUCUUGAGAAAUCCAGCAGCUCAAUGUUGGGCUUUCAGGAGAUACUGUUCGGCUCGAGGCCGGGAGAGGUGAGAGGUACUUCAGGGGUAGGG
rnacentral:rRNA from 1 species